UUCACACCCCGCUACUCCUGAGUGCCACACACCGGCUUCCUCCCAGUCCCUCAUCUGAGAACUCAUGAAGCCACCUGGAAUCCCUUUCUGCUUUGCCUGGCUCAUUCCAUCUCAAUUUCAGAUCUUCGCUACAGGUCAGCUCCAAGGAGGAGCUCUCAAAACCUAGCUCUCAAAACCUAGCUCUUUUCCUUCAGAGCACUGGCCUCCAAUU
rnacentral:antisense_RNA from 1 species